rnacentral:tRNA from 1 species
GAGUGUAUAGCUCAGUGGUAGAGCACAUGCUUAGCAUGCCUGAGGUCCUGGGUUCAAUCCCCAGUACCUCCA